UCCAUGCACCAGCCCUGGGUAUAUUAUAAUAGGCUGUCCUGUAUCUUGGAGUGAUGGUGGAGCACCUGCAAGUUGUGAAUUUGCCCUUAAACUUGCAAGCAGACUGAAUGUUUCUGCUAUAGCUGCACACCUGGCUUCUUGAACUGAAGAGAUUUUCAGCACCAGAAAUAUGGACAACUGCUUUGGAUGAAAUAGAGCUUCACAAUUUCAAGUCACUUUAUGCUUUGGAAUGAAUGGAACACUGGAGACAAUUGCACAAAACUUAGAUACUGAUCAGACAGGAAAAAUAUUAAUUUCACGAGCUGGAUAGGAUAAUGGCACUUAGAAAUUGUGCAUGUCUUAGUAAUUAACUCAGCAGAUUCAACCUGUUCAAUAAUUGUGGAUAUGCUGAAUUGGGGGGGAGCAGCAUUUGGCAUGCUGAUAGUACAUUCCUGCUGCAGAUGUAACCCACACACCUCAUGGUGCUCUAUCCCCUCUAGUGGUACUGAGACUAUUUAGAGAUUAAUA